CAGCCGCCGCGGUAAUACGAAGGGGGCUAGCGUUGCUCGGAAUUACUGGGCGUAAAGGGCGCGUAGGCGGACAGUUAAGUUGGGGGUGAAAGCCCGGGGCUCAACCUCGGAAUUGCCUUCAAUACUGGCUGUCUUGAGUAUGAGAGAGGUGUGUGGAACUCCGAGUGUAGAGGUGAAAUUCGUAGAUAUUCGGAAGAACACCAGUGGCGAAGGCGACACACUGGCUCAUUACUGGCGCUGAGGCGCGAAAGCGUGGGGAGCAAACAGGAUUAGAUACCCCAGUAGUCCCUGUCUCUUAUAA
rnacentral:rRNA from 1 species